CCCGGUGGCUAUGACGAGAGGGUCACACCUGUUCCCAUUCCGAACACAGAAGUUAAGCCUCUCAGUGUCGAUGGUACUGCCUUGGCGACGAGGUGGGAGAGUAGAUCGCUGCCGGUC
rnacentral:rRNA from 1 species